AGAGGUGAGAGGCUGACGUCGAGGUGACGCGCCAACAAAAUCACAUCUGACGUCACGUCUAGUCGUCUUGGCUCACUGGCCGCGAUUGGCCAGGCUGAUUUGGGGGAUCCCCCGCUAAUUGGGUAUCCGGGUUGCCUGGUCUGGUUACCUGGAGUCGGAGACCCGCCCCUUGGGGGAUAGAUGUGGAAAGUCGGGAAGGUAGGGGAGAGUCUCUUCCUGUGCUGAGGAUCAUUGGAGAGGAGUAGCCCCCCAAAUGUGUGACCAAGUUGACUCUUAUAAUGACCAUGAAGAAACCAUGUUUUUUCUGGAAGCAAAAGUAAAGUACAUAGUUUCCCAUUGUUCAACCCCUUGGAGCAGUUUUUUGGAUGUCAGUAACCUUACCAAGACAGUUAAUAUGAGCUGAGGAACAAAGGAGGAACUGUUGAAGUUCAUGGAGCAGGACUGAGCUCCCUCCCUGGUCACAAGAUGGCUGCAGCAGAUCCAGCUCUCAUAAUCUCACACCAAUGCCCAGGUGCUGAUGGUGUGCAAAGAGGAUGCGUCUCUCAGAAUGAACAAUGAUAAUGGUUACUAUUUCUUGAGUGCUGUCUGCCAUGUAUCAGGAGUAGUGAGAGGAGGCAUCCUUGCUGCGGAUCUAAGGGAGAAAUCAACCAGCUUCUUCUCAGUAAGUAUAAUGGUUGUAGGUCUUUUAUAGAUGUUCUCUAUUAAUUUGAGGAAGUUCCUUUCUAUCCCUUGUUUGCUGUUUGCCACAGAUUUUGCAAAUAUUAU